rnacentral:rRNA from 1 species
UACGAAGGGGGCUAGCGUUGUUCGGAAUCACUGGGCGUAAAGGGCGCGUAGGCGGCUUUAUAAGUCGGGGGUGAAAGCCUGUGGCUCAACCACAGAAUUGCCUUCGAUACUGUAGAGCUUGAGACCGGAAGAGGUAAGUGGAACUGCGAGUGUAGAGGUGAAAUUCGUAGAUAUUCGCAAGAACACCGGUGGCGAAGGCGGCAUCCUGGACCGACACUGACACUGAGGAGCGAAAGCCAGGGGAGCAAACGGG